UAUAUCCUUCACCAAUGCAACAUUCCCAGUCAGUGUUCUUUACACUGACUGUAUAGAAAGAGGAGGUACAGUAAAUGCACCCCAUAUACACCUCAACCUUUGCCUGGUCUGUAUUGUAAAUUGGGGGACAAAA